rnacentral:lncRNA from 1 species
CUAGAACACAGCUCAUGGUCAAGAAAUGAUCUGCAAAGAAACGACACUCAUGGGAAUGUCGGAGUCUCUGAGUAGUCCACUGCAGUCCUUGGAAAACCAUUGCAAGAGUGAACUUCAGGAGCCCCAGGUUUUCCAUGAGAGAGACAAGGCGACCCUACCAUUUAGGGUUGAGGAUGAAGACAGCAAGAUGGCAACUGGGAAAGCAUUGACAGCAAAGCAAGAAGGGAUUGAAUGUGUUGCAUCAGUGGCCAUGGAAUCUCCAGGAAGACUUCCUAGGGAAACUUCUCCAGUACAGAGAGUUGAAGAAACUAUGGAAUUUCUGGACAACGAGAAGCAACAAGGAAGUGAUGAUACAAGCAACAAAACGAGUCCGCUUUCUUCUCAGGAAGGCGGUUUCAGUUUGGCACCCUUUAGCAAGAAAACGCCUACAGAACAGAACAUCUUUGAGUAUAAUGAAAGUGAAGGGAUCCUUAGUCAAAACUUACAUGGUACUACACAGCCCAGAACUGACACAGGGAAACUGCUCUAUGCAUGCAUGGAUUGUGGGAAAGCUUUUUGCAAUAGGUCAAAGCUGAUUAGACAUCAGAGAAGUCAUACUGGAGAGAGACCUUAUGCAUGUAAAGAAUGUGGAAAGGCCUUUGGUUUCAGAGCAGACCUUGUUAGACAUCAGAGAAUUCACAGUGGUGAAAAACCCUAUAAAUGCUGUGACUGUGGAAAAUCCUUUAAUAGAAGCACAGCACUCACUGUUCACCAAAGAACUCACUCUGGGGAGAAACCUUAUGAAUGUAAUGAAU